rnacentral:rRNA from 1 species
UAAGUAGGUAGUGAAUUGUGUGGCUCAACCAUACACCCAUUAUCUAAACUGCUCAGCUUGAGCAUGAGAGAGGUAACUGGAAUUUCUAGUGUAGGAGUGAAAUCCGUAGAUAUUAGAAGGAACACCGAUGGCGUAGGCAGGUUACUGGCUCAUUGCUGACACUAAGGCACGAAAGCGUGGGGAGCGAACUGGAUUAGAUACCCAGGUAGUCCACGCCGUAAACUAUGGAUGCUA